rnacentral:pre_miRNA from 1 species
GGGGGAGGCCAGAUCCCGGGCUGUGUCCUGGCGCCCUGUGCUGUGGGGCCUGCGCUGUUGGAUUUGCGCUCCCGCCCCGCAGACCCCU